CUCCACCCUGCCCGGGAAGUCGGAAAAGUUAAAAUUGUGGCAACCUGAGUUGGGCUGUAGUGAAUGUAGCCGCAGAUCUGCCCAGGCCUCCCGGAGACAGGGCCCGGCAGCCCUGACUGGUGGGCUGAGGCCCCUCCCGCUGCCACCAGCCAAAGAGGGCGGGCUGCUCGGUGGUGCCACUGCAGCCCGGGAGCUCAUUGGCCACCCCCUCCAGGGUCACCGCAGCCUGCCCUAGGCUGCAAGCUGCCACUUGUUAGCUGCAGUUGACAGAGGUGUUGCUAGGCGCCCCCCCACACACACACCCUACCCUCACCGCACAGCACAGCUCGGGGAGCCAGCAGGGGUGGGACGCACUCCAUCUGACUGCUUGGAGAGAGGCUUUGAGGAGUCUCCCUGUAAGAAAAUAGCCUAAGCGAUUUGUUUGUGAGAAUAGUGUAACAAAAGUGGCUUAGCAAGCAUGCAGAUGUGACAACCCCAGAAAGUUUACAUUCCCCAAGAGUCCUGGAACAAACGAAACCCAGAAAUAACAGGUCACCCUUGAGAAAUGAGCUCUCAAGAUGGUGGCUGGUCACCAGCCCUUUGCUCCUUUUUACUCCCUGGUUUUUCUCAGGACACUUGGUGGGCAUUUUUCACAGGCUUGUGAGCCCCUGCCUUUCUGCCAGACAGGGUGCAAUAAAUGCCUUAUAAGGGAAUAAUGAAAUGUAGAUGACAUCUAGGUAGAUCGUACACCCCAGAGUACUCGGCCAAUGAGGAAACAAGGGAGGGACUUGUGCAUUAGGGAAUACAUUGCUUUUUGAGUGUGUCUGUCCGUCAGACACCCCAUCUUGGAAGACCGCCAUUAAGAUCAAGACCGCCAUUAAAGUCUCGUUUCACCACACCUCGUGUCUCUGUGUCCAUGCUUUGGCAUUGGAUGGGGAAGUGCAUUUCUCAUAAUUUGGGGGUUCAUCAGGAUCUCUGCAACUGCAGGACUGGGACCCCAAUAGAGGGAGAGACACGUCCCACCUGAUUUCAGGUGGCUUUUCGUAGGACAGCAGAUACGCCCGAGACUGUCAUCCUGAGGACAGUGAAAGUGACACUGGGGAAGGAAAGCAGGCACAGUGACAACCGAGCAACCUCGUGCUUGAGCCAAGUGACCUGGUGCUAAUCAAGACCUGGAAUGACAAACUUUGGCCAAGUCGGGAAGGUCCUACGAGCUUACAGCUGUGACAACCCCAGAAAGUACACAUUUCCCGAGUUCCUGAACAAACGAAACCCAGAAAUAACAGAUCGUCCUUGAGAAGUGGCCUCGUAAGAUGGUGGCUAGUCACCAGCACCUUCUCCUUUUUACUUCCUUGUCCUUGCUCCUCAGGACAUUUGGCGGGCCGUUUCCAUGAGUUUGUCCUGAGUCUAUGCCUUCCUACCAGACAAGAGAGGGAAGGGGACAAUACAUGCCUUAAGGGAAUAAUAAAACUUAGGUGACAUCCAGGAAGAUC